rnacentral:tRNA from 1 species
GCCUUCGUAGUGUAGUGGUCAGCAUGCUCGACGCGUAACCAAGAAGUCCGUGGUUCGAUUCCCGGCGAAAGCG